rnacentral:rRNA from 1 species
UACGUAGGGUGCAAGCGUUGUCCGGAAUUAUUGGGCGUAAAGAGCUCGUAGGCGGUUUGUCGCGUCUGCCGUGAAAGUCCGGGGCUCAACUCCGGAUCUGCGGUGGGUACGGGCAGACUAGAGUGAUGUAGGGGGAGACUGGAAUUCCUGGUGUAGCGGUGAAAUGCGCAGAUAUCAGGAGAAACACCGGAUGGCGAAGGCAGGUCUCUGGGCAUUAACUGACGCUGAGGAGCGAAAGCAUGGGGGAGCGAACAGG